AGGAGGCCGGCUGGCGUGUGAGCUGCUGCUAGCCGUGAUCAUUAUCCGGUAGAUUUGGUACCUUCAGGUAGGCAUUUAACAUUCAUACUUUAUGAUGUGUCCGAUCGCCGUAUUGUCUGAAUUACGGGCCUGAUUAUGUGACUGCAUUCCACUUCUAGCCAUUCUUGCGUGGAACUGCACUCUGCUGUGAACUGGUGUUCACUUCGCGCUGCCUAUACUGCACCAGUGUGUUGCCCAUCAUCUGUGCCCUGUGGCAGGCCUGAUUCGUGGUGCUUACGCUGGCUUGGAGUGGCCACAGUGGUUGGCCCCUGGGUACCUGACUGCAGUCAGUGGAUGUGUGUGGUCCAAAUUGCGAUUGUUCCGAACCACGGAUCUAUGAUCAGGUUAGCGGUGCCUCUCUGACGCUGGGGAUUGCUAGCUACACUCCUCGGAGGUUGCUGUUUUGUUGCCGUCACACUCUGCGCCGGUUCCGACUGGCUCCACCUGCUCUGUCCUGCUUUUGUUUGGUUUAAUUAUUUUUAUUUUCUGGCCCGUUUCUUGGGACGCCAGCCUCCUCGCUGCGCACUGCGCAGGUCUAGUUACCUGUGUGUGUUGUGAGUGCGUGUGUGUCUGUGCGUCUGUAUGCGUGUGUGAUUGUCAUCUAGGCACGGCACCGGAGGCAAGUGUACACCCCCUUCAGUCAACCUACAGCGGUGUAGUUCUCCCCUCUCUCUUGCUAUACAAAAGUUAAGUUGCAUCUAGUCAUCACUGUGUAUGCAAAUUGUGUAAUACAUUAGUACGUGUCAUUCUCGCCAUUGAGUGUCUCUCUCUUCUCUCCUCCCUGGAUAGGUAUGGAGUUGCCAUAGCGCGCCGGUCUUCGGGUGGUGGAUUCCCUCACUUUUCCAUUGCUGUGUGCACUUGGGUGACUAUUACUAUUUUGCUGUGCUAAGUAGCAGUAGUAGAUGUGUGUUUUCUUUUUAUUUUGUGUGAGUACUUUAUUGUGUGUGUUUAUUUUGUGUGGCCUUUUCCCUAGUCUUUAACUAUCCCUUUUCAACCGUGCUGCUAUUGGUUAGCCUAAGCCUAGCUCCCCCCCCCUUUAAGAGUGACACCAUUGCCCUGUCUCCCCCGUACUGGGGUGGUUCUUAGGAUUGAGUGUAGUCUCCCUUCCU